rnacentral:rRNA from 1 species
AACGAACGCUGGCGGCAGGCUUAACACAUGCAAGUCGAACGCCCCGCCAGGGGAGUGGCAGACGGGUGAGUACCGCGUGGGAACAUACCCUUUUCUACGGAAUAGCCCUGGGAAACUGGUAUUAAUACCGUAUACGCCCUACGGGGGAAAGAUUUAUCGGGGAAGGAUUGGCCCGCGUUGGAUUAGCUAGUUGGUGGGGUAAAGGCCUACCAAGGCGACGAUCCAUAGCUGGUCUGAGAGGAUGAUCAGCCACAUUGGGACUGAGACACGGCCCAAACUCGUACGGGAGGCAGCAGUGGGGAAUAUUGGACAAGGGGCGCAAGCCUGAUCCAGCCAUGCCGCGUGAGUGAUGAAGGCCUUAGGGUUGUAAAGCUCUUUCACCGAUGAAGAUAAUGACGGUAGUCGGAGAAGAAGCCCCGGCUAACUUCGUG